rnacentral:lncRNA from 1 species
GAAGGGCCAGGGCCUCGCGCCCACCCUCCCCGAGGACCUCUACUGCCUCAUCAAGAAGGCUGUGUCCGUGCGCAAGCACAUGGAGCGUAACCGCAAGGACAUGGACUCCAAGUUCCGCCUCAUUCUUAUCGAGUCCCGCAUCCACCGCCUGGCCCGCUACUACAAGCUCGCCAAGAAGCUCGCGCCCAACUGGAAGUACGACUCGGCCACCGCGUCUACCCUCGUCGCCUAAGCAACGAAGGUUUCAUUAGGUUUAGGGUCCGGCGUGUCCUUGAACCUGGGGUUGGUGAAGGGGUUCUUUGGGUUUGGUCGCGCGCGGGGCGUAGCGAUCGAGGGGAUUGAACAUACGAGUGGAACGCCGAUCGGAGCGGCCGGGCGCGUCACCGGAAGGGACGCAUCGGCUGG